GAACGCUGGCGGCGUGCUUAACACAUGCAAGUCGAACGGAAAGGCCUCUUUCGGGGGGUACUUGAGUGGCGAACGGGUGAGUAACACGUGAGUAACCUGCCCUUGACUUUGGGAUAACUUCAGGAAACUGGGGCUAAUACCGGAUAGGAGCUCCUGCUGCAUGGUGGGGGUUGGAAAGUUUCGGCGGUUGGGGAUGGACUCGCGGCUUAUCAGCUUGUUGGUGGGGUAGUGGCUUACCAAGGCUUUGACGGGUAGCCGGCCUGAGAGGGUGACCGGCCACAUUGGGACUGAGAUACGGCCCAGACUCCUACGGGAGGCAGCAGUGGGGAAUAUUGCACAAUGGGUGGAAGCCUGAUGCAGCAACGCCGUGUGCGGGAGGACGGCCUUCGGGUUGGAAACCGCUUUCGCUCAUGACGAAGCUUUGUGUGACGGUAGUGGGUAAAGAAGCACCGGCUAACUACGUG
rnacentral:rRNA from 1 species